rnacentral:rRNA from 1 species
AGAGUUUGAUCCUGGCUCAGGACGAACGCUGGCGGCAGGCUUAACACAUGCAAGUCGAACGAACUCUUCGGAGUGAGUGGCAGACGGGUGCGUAACACGUGGGAACCUACCCUAAGGUACGGAACAACACCGAGAAAUUGGUGCUAAUACCGUAUGUGCCCUUCGGGGGAAAGAUUUAUCGCCUUAGGAUGGGCCCGCGGCAGAUUAGAUAGUUGGUGGGGUAAUGGCCUACCAAGUCGACGAUCUGUAGCUGGUCUGAGAGGAUGAUCAGCCACACUGGGACUGAGACACGGCCCAGACUCCUACGGGAGGCAGCAGUGGGGAAUAUUGGGCAAUGGGCGAAAGCCUGACCCAGCCAUGCCGCGUGAGUGAUGAAGGCCUUAGGGUUGUAAAACUCUUUCGCCGGUGAAGAUAAUGACGGUAACCGGUAAAGAAGCCCCGGCUAAUUUCGUGCCAGCAGCCGCGGUAAUACGAAAGGGGCUAGCGUUGUUCGGAAUUACUGGGCGUAAAGCGCGCGUAGGCGGGCUAGCAAGUUGGGGGUGAAAUGCCGGAGCUCAACUCCGGAACUGCCUCCAAAACUGCUAGCCUAGAGGAUGUGAGAGGAUAGUGGAAUUCCGAGUGUAGAGGUGAAAUUCGUAGAUAUUCGGAAGAACACCAGUGGCGAAGGCGACUGUCUGGCACAUUUCUGACGCUGAGUGCGAA